AAAACAAGUUGUGAGUCACAGCGUUCCAAAAUAAAGUACAAAAUGCAACAGCAAAACUGUAAUUCCAACGAUUCUGAUCUGGUGAUAUGAAUGUUAAUGAGUCACGCUUUUGUAGGCUUAUUGAUUGCCAAUCACUUAGUCACUCGCUCAGGAACUGAAGAUUAGUCCGAAAACUAGUUGGAAUCAUUUUCAAAAGGCUAGUCUCAAGACGAAGCUCAAUGCAGGGGUGUCACACAAAUCCAUGGAAAAUAAUCUUCUGGGCGAUUUUUUCUGAAGCUUUAAAUCUUGAUCGUUUGGGCAGAUCGCCAAGCCUAGAUUAACAUCCAGAAAUGUUAUUCUGUAUGUUUGGUGAGACUGGAAAGAAAUCACGCAGUACACUACUCGUAUGAGUAGUUUCCAUUGGUUCAAAACACAAUUUAGACCUCUAUUGUCAACAAUUGGUUCGUUGAGGCAGGCGAUCGACGAGAAAGAGCCAGAAUUGAAGAAUAAAUAUAUAUGUAUAAAGAGAUGGCCCAGAAACAAAAAAAUUUACGAAAUGAAGUA